GUACCGUGAGGGAAAGAUGAAAAGAACUUUGAAAAGAGAGUUAAACAGUACGUGAAAUUGUUGAAAGGGAAACGAUUGAAGUCAGUCAUACCAACGGGAAAUCAACCUUUUGAGCUCGGUCUCGUGGGUUUUGAAGAGUUUCAAAGCCUUCGGAUUCGCGGGAUUGGGAUCUCUCGGUGUACUUUUUCGUACGGUUAGUCAACAUCGGUUUUGAAUGUCAUAAAAUGACUGGAGGAAUGUAGCUUCGAUCUCGUAUUGAAGUGUUAUAGCCUUUGGUAGAUGUGAUGUUUGAGACCGAGGAUUGCAACGGAUACCCUUCAGGGCUAUUCGUCUGAUCUCUGAUACGUUGCCCUGAUGUUGAAAGCUUGCUUAUGAUGUUAGGGUAUUACGGUCAAAAGGUUAGAACGAAUUACAUUCGUUAAGG
rnacentral:rRNA from 1 species